AAUGAACGCUGGCGGCAGGCCUAACACAUGCAAGUCGAACGGAUCCUUCGGGAUUAGUGGCGGACGGGUGAGUAACGCGUGGGAACAUACCCUUUGGUACGGAAUAGCCUCGGGAAACUGGGAGUAAUACCGUAUGUGGUCGAGAGACUAAAGAUUUAUCGCCAAAGGAUUGGCCCGCGUUGGAUUAGGUAGUUGGUGGGGUAAUGGCCUACCAAGCCGACGAUCCAUAGCUGGUUUGAGAGGAUGAUCAGCCACACUGGGACUGAGACACGGCCCAGACUCCUACGGGAGGCAGCAGUGGGGAAUCUUAGACAAUGGGGGAAACCCUGAUCUAGCCAUGCCGCGUGAUCGAUGAAGGCCUUAGGGUUGUAAGGAUCUUUCAGGUGGGAAGAUAAUGACUGUACCACCAGAAGAAGCCCCGGCUAACUCCGUGCCAGCCGCCGCUGUAA
rnacentral:rRNA from 1 species